rnacentral:snRNA from 1 species
AUGCGAGGGCAAUCUGGCUGCGACAUCUCUCACCUCAUUGAUCACCAAGGUUGAUUUGGCUGAUCUGGCUGGCUAGAAGGGGACUCUUUUCUAACCCCAAGCAAGU